rnacentral:lncRNA from 1 species
GUAUUUUAGUUAAAUGGUUAAAGUUGAAGUAAAAAGUUAACAACGUUAUAUAUUUAAGAGCAGAGGGAGUAUUUGAGAUGCUACGAUGGAUUAGAAGUUUCACCGUGAAGUUUUUUUUUGUUUGUUUUUCAUGAAUCCCGAGUGAUGAUAGUAAAACUCAAUGCGGUAUCCAAGCUAGCGAUGACAAAGGGAGUAUAUGAAUGUAUGAUUCGCACACUACUAGAAAACUGAUCUUUCAUCCCUAAUUUUAAUACCGGUUAGAUUUAAACCCGGUACUAAUACUAAGAUAGUAUUAGUACCGGUUGCAAAGGAUAUUGCCUGGAACGCACCAUGAGGACCCUUUAGUGCCG